CCUACGGGAGGCAGCAGUGGGGAAUAUUGGGCAAUGGGCGCAAGCCUGACCCAGCAAAGCCGCGUGAAGGAAGAAGGCUCUCGGGUUGUAAACUUCUUUUCUCAGGGACGAAGCAAGUGACGGUACCUGAGGAAUAAGCCACGGCUAACUAAGUGCCAGCAGCCGCGGUAAUACGUAGGUCGCAAGCGUUAUCCGGAUUUACUGGGUGUACAGGGCGUGUAGGCGGGAAAGCAAGUCAGAUGUGAAAACCAUGGGCUCAACCUGUGGCCUGCAGUUGAAACUGUUUGCCUUGAGUACUGGAGAGGCAGACGGAAUGCCUAGUGUAGCGGUGAAAUGCGUAGAUAUUAGGAGGAACACCAGUGGCGAAGGCGGUCUGCUGGACACCAACUGACGCUGAGGCGCGAAAGCGUGGGGAGCAAACAGGAUUAGAUACCCUUGUAGUC
rnacentral:rRNA from 1 species